GGCUGGUCCAACUGCACUGGUAUUUACAACUAACUGAUCACAACCAGUUACAGAUUUCUUUGUUCCUUCUCCACUCCCACUGCUUCACUUGACUUUAA
ensembl:misc_RNA Y_RNA Y RNA